rnacentral:rRNA from 1 species
GACGAAGGGGGCUAGCGUUGCUCGGAAUUACUGGGCGUAAAGCGCGCGCAGGCGGUCUUCCAAGUCAGUGGUGAAAGCCCGGAGCUCAACUCCGGAACUGCCAUUGAAACUGUUGGACUUGAGUACGAGAGAGGUGAGUGGAAUUCCCAGUGUAGAGGUGAAAUUCGUAGAUAUUGGGAAGAACACCGGUGGCGAAGGCGGCUCACUGGCUCGUAACUGACGCUCAGGCGCGACAGCGUGGGGAUCAAACAGG